UUUUAUUGAUUUUAUAGUAAAAUUUUAUAUGCAGACUUGUUUAAGGUUGAAUUAUGUUUAAUUCAUAGCUGAUUCUAUUUAUUUUGCAGAAGGUUUUGUGCAGUUCAAUGUUGCUGAAAAAUAGCAUUUCUUCAAUCAAGGUUAGGACUUGUGAUAUGGAACUUCAGUGGUAUUUGUAAGAUCAUCCAGAAAAACAUUCAAGAGCAAACCCAGUGGAACCAGAACCAGAACUGUUUGGGAAUCAGAGGAACAUGGAGCAAAGGAAGAAGAAAGAAGGAGUAAAGCCACACUGUCAGGUAGAAUUAUGCUCUAUAUAAAUGUGAUUUUU
rnacentral:lncRNA from 1 species